AGCUCCUCCGCCGCCAGCCCCGUCCCCGGCAUCCCUCCCCUCUCCUCCUCUCCCCCGCCCGCGGACGAUCGUCUCUACCCCCGAAGGCGACGGCGCGCGCACGGAGGUCGUAAUUUCAGGGUUUUAUUUUGCGAAAUUUUCUGAUCGAUCGGUUCUCCGAGUCUCAGAUUGACUCUGGUUCCUCUGUUUUGAUCCGUAUUACCCUGUCCGAUGAUGUUUUGGGCCGUGCCACAUGGUAGGACGAGAUGGGAUGAUUUUCUAGAUUGACCGGGAGGAAAAUUCUCACCCGUGCCCCUCUCGUCUGGAUAUUGGUUCGAUUUUUCUUAACAUGUUAAUGCGUUGGAUGGGAUACUGAUAAGAAUUUGCCAUUCAGAUGUCAGCAUCAAGCGUUUUAUGUCCAGGACAUGGUAGUCUCAGCACUCUUGGGUGAAGCUGCCGCUGCAAAAAGUUGAAGCAAGCCAGUAGAGAUGACAUCAGAAGGGAAUAAAGCUGCUGCGCCUAAUGAACCGCUGCCCAUUGAGCCACUUGCAAGCUCUGGUGCAAAGCGUAAGCGUGGCCGCCCAAGGAAGUACGAGUAUUCUACAUAUGAACAACCUCACAUGGCACAGCCCAUUCAGAGCAUUCCACCUCUUCGCAGCGCACUGUAUAACCCAAAUAUCCGACAUGAUGGGCUGCAUAUUAACCAUACAUUAGGUGGUACUCUUGACACUAAAAUGCAUACAGUUUAUGUUCUGCCUGCACAGCAGACUCAAGGUGAUAGGCCCAGUCGACCUGUAGAGUCUGGUAGUACAGUCAAGUUUCGUGAAAAUCAAGUCUCCAGCAGUAGUAGUGCUCAUGUGCAAGGUAAUUUAGGCAAGGAUGUUAUCAUUGGCAAGCAUUUUGUUGGAAAGAUGACCAAGCAAUGUCCUGGGUUUUCUCUUAUUACGGUGAGACUGAAGGACAAUCAGGUGCUCAGAGGUUGGAUCCCGGAUGAAACUAACCUACGCCCAAUAACACCAAAGGAUGAUCUUGCCCCUGACCUUCCCAUGCUCCAACCAAGUAAACUUCAAAAGAAAGCAUCUGCAAUCCACAGACAAGCUGCUCCUCCCUUACCAGUCCACUUAGAGAACGUUACAAUUGCAAAGCCUCUUCAGAUGAGGAGGCCUGUGGAGACAUCUACUGCUAAGCACAUCAUCCCUCCUGCUCCAAGACCUUACGUUGGUUCUGGGGUUGUUGCAGCAGCACCUGUUUCGGUUAUAUCUGGGAAUGUAUCAAGGCCUUUGCCCAAGCAAGACACUGGAUCUUUGAGCCAAGAACCAUCAGCUACUGUGGUGCCAGUCACAGUUAAACCUGCUCAGCCUGUAUUAGUAUCAUGCAGACACGUGGAUCAAGAUGUGCAUGUUGAAGGAAAAUCUGUCCCUGAGUUUAACAGUGAUUCUGAAUCUUCAAGUGGAAGCAAGGAGUCAUCAGGCCAAACUCCGCGUGGUUUUCCAGCUGCCAUGGAUGAGACUGAGAUAACAUCAGGCUCCAAAGAACACUCAAAUACUGCUAAUAGCGACCAACAUAUUUUUAAGGAACCAUCAGAUAACUCAGAACAGUCUGAUGAACCAAAGACAGAGACUAGCAUCCUGAAAGGAGUUGAUGGCUCAAUGAUAGAGGCCUCAGGAACUGCACCAGCGGCAGAGGCCUCAAGUGCAAACCCUAAUCCCCUAGAUGAUGUUCAAUCUGCCGUGAAGGAAGAUGAACUGAAGGUUGACAGCAAAGAAAGCAGGCUGACAACGACGACAUAAAUCCUGUUGUUUGGUUUAUGCUGUUUCGGCCAGGCUUACAAGAAUCUCAACGUAAAGUGGGGUCUUUCUGUGGAUGGUCGAACCCUAGAGCAGACUAGCAUUAUUCAUUUUUUAUUCUUCUCUGACUUUAUAUGUUGAAGGUUCAGAGGAGAAACAAAUUCAUAGAAUAUUUUUGACCUUGCAGCUAGUGCUUAUGGCAAUGAGUAGAACGGAAAAAAAUGCAUAUACAUUUUAGCCUUUUAGGAAGAUGACGAA
rnacentral:rRNA from 1 species